rnacentral:rRNA from 1 species
AAUCAACGCUGGCGGCGUGCCUCAGACAUGCAAGUCGAACGAUUAAGACUUCCUUCGGGAAGUGUAUAAAGUGGCGCACGGGUGAGUAACACGUAAGUAAUCUACCUUCGAGUGGGGAAUAACAUCGGGAAACCGAUGCUAAUACCGCAUAAUGCAGCGGCAUCGCAAGAUGACAGUUGUUAAAGGAGCAAUUCGCUUGAAGAGGAGCUUGCGGCAGAUUAGCUAGUUGGUAAGGUAAUGGCUUACCAAGGCUACGAUCUGUAUCCGGUCUAAGAGGACCGUCGGACACACUGACACUGAAUAACGGGUCAGACUCCUACGGGAGGCAGCAGUCGGGAAUUUUGGGCAAUGGGCGAAAGCCUGACCCAGCAACGCCGCGUGAGGGAUGAAGUAUUUCGGUAUGUAAACCUCGAAAGAAUGGGAAGAAUAAAUGACGGUACCAUUUAUAAGCUCCGGCUAACUACGUGCCAGCAGCCGCCGUAAGAC